GGUUAUUUGGGAGUCAUUGUUGGAUGGGACGUGAGAGCUAAAGCUCCAGAAGAAUGGCUACAACACAAAUAUCCUCCAGAAAAACAGGAUGUAAAAGAUACUCCACACUAUCGAAUUCUAAUUAAUGCAAGUGGAUUGGGCAAAUCUACCGCUUACGUUCCCGAGGAAGAGAUAACAAUUAUUGUGGGAUUGCAGGUACACCACCCCGAUGUGAAAGUCUAUUUCUGUGGAUAUGAUGGAUCAAAGUAUAUUUUGCAGCCGUGGUUGAGAGACAUCUAUCCUCAUGACUGAAGCAUUCAAGUAUCUGUACAUAUAAUGUACAUCUGGACAACAUAUUUCCUUUAUAAACUGGAGCAAAUAG